UUUGUGGAGAUACUAUCCUCCAUUUACAAUAUAACAAAUAAAUAUAAAAUACAUUUCUAACAUUUAAGCUAAGUAAUGUCAACUAAAACAAUUCUACAAUACAUGUAUCUCCUAAUGCACAAACAUAGUCUGCUCCUAGAAAUAAUGUGGAGUGCCACAAAAGUUUCCGUAUGAUACCAGAGUAAAUGGGGACUGCUUUCCCUUGCAGUUUUUAAUCUCAUAAAUUAUAGCAUAUAAGAAUAGACUCAAAUGAAAGCUUGUGAUCAAUUUUAUGAAAUUUUGACAGAAAAUCCCUAGGGCAGGUAAUAUAUAAAUCCCAUUAGCUACCUGGAAGAGAAGAGUAAAAGAGUAUAGAAGAAAAACAUGCCAUAUUAGUUAAUCUAACAUGUAGGUUAGCCACAUGGUGCAUAAGCAGCCAUAGAAUAGGGUGUGGAGCUCUAAAGAAAAAGGAAGAAACCCUGUAAUAACAGAAAAAAAUUCUUUUCCUCUAUCCAGUAUCUACAAUAAAAUGACAUAGGAAAUGAGUAAGGAAAAGACAUAUUUUUCUUAGAACUCAGAAAGAGGUUCAUACUCAAAAGGACCUCUUAGACAAUUGUAAGGACUAAGGUAGGGGCAAGGAAUUCUAGAAAGGAAAAAUACAUUAUCUCAUUGAUAAUGUAUUGGUUAAGAUGAUUUCACUUUUCUAGGGUCUCCUGUCCCUGAUGAUCAUUGACCUUCCUAACUGGAUUAACUCUUCUGUGAGGAGACAUUGAUAGCUUUAUAUACAGGGAGAUUUCCUUCUUUGGGAUAGGAAUGAAGGAUAUGUAACUUUCUUUAAUAGUUACAUAGUUUAAUCAAAAGUAAAUCACUAUCUUUAAUAGAACUUCAAUAAUACUGUAACUAUUUUCAAUUCAUUUUCACAUCAGGUAGACAAAAUAUAUUAACAAAUUUCUCAUUAAAUAAAAUCAUUAAUCAUAGAACCAAUGGUACAUGGGGAAAUUCUAUUUCACUAUCUAUACUCAUUGAAAUUGAAAUGUACCUGAAAGGAUGAAAAAUCUAGAAAGAUAUAUACGUGUGUGUUUAUGAAAAGUUUAUAGUGGACCACCAAAGGACCUAAUACUAAGAGGAAAAAUAAAAACUUGUAAGUAGCAGAAAGACUGUAGAUCAAUGGAUUCAACAGUGGACUCACAAAGGUGUAGAAGACGGCUAUUAUUUUGGACUCCUCAACAGUCUUGUCAGUGGGUGGUCUCACAUACAUGCAGAAGAGAGUCCCAUAAAACAAUGUAACAGCCAUCAUGUGGGAACCACAGAUUGAGACCAGGAAAUUGCCCUUAUUGGGGGAGAGAAAAGGAGAGUGAGAGGGCAAAAGAAGGUGAUGAAGAAAGACAGGAAAAGAAAAAUAAAUCCUGACAUCUGAAGCAUACAUAUUUUCUGAUUUUGGAACUGACCCAGUUUGGCUACGAAAGAGAACAUGACUGAGGUACUCAGCAAAUAUGAGGACUCCCUGCUCAGUAAACACUCCUAUGCACAAGUAAUUCUGUAGUGGUAGUCAUCAAAAUAAAUGUGUACACACCAGCUAAAUUUAGGCUGAAAUUCAAUUGUUCU